CAGAGAAGCCUCAGACUCGCGCCUCCUUUGCCUCCACCGUCACUCCGCCGUCGCCUCGCCUCCACCUUCGUGCCGCCGUUGCUGGUGGACGGCAGCCCAAAAUUCACCCUAAGCUAGCGACCUUUGUCACGUAGGUUCGAAGGCGGUCGUUCGGGGUACGUUUUAGGACGCAUAAUCGAUGGGAAUGGUGUCCAGUGGCAGAAAAUUUUGUGCGUGAAGGUGCUUAGGGGGUCGGUAUUAUCUUUGGAGAUCACCUACGGGUAGAGGACCGUAUUCGUACAUGUGCCUGCUUCUGCCAAAUAACUUCUGAAAUGGCAAAAACCACUCGAGGAAAAGCAAAUGCAUCUCAGGAUCUUGUCAACUCACCGUUGCGCCGUGUCACUAGGUCACUUGCACGUGCCACUCCAUCACCCUCGGCGAAGGCUGUUUCAAGUAACCCUUCUUCGCCAACAGUGGUUCCAACAAAGAAGAAUACGAGUAAACGGCCAGGGGCACACGUAUCACCUCUUAUGGACCGAUUACGCAGGAUUACUGAAGAGUGGGAAAAAGAGCGUGAUUCCAGGUCGCCUUCAGCAGCAGCUCCAUCCACAGUCCGACGGAGUCUUCUUCAGGAAUCACAAGCACCAGAUCAGGAAGAGCUGGACAGCCAUGACUCGGAAGAUGAUGAAAUGAUUGGUCCAACUGAAGAUUAGGUCCCGACUAAUUGCAAUCUCGAUGACGAAGGUGGAGCACAUGAAGCAGAGGCUGAGGAACUCCGGGAGACAUUGGGCAAUGACAUUCGCGAAGAGGAUACAGCAAUGCAGGAUGAUGGCCCUCUUUCGAAAAAGAAAACUGGAUGAGGUGCCGCAAAGAUGCCCCGUGGUUGGGGUGGUGACAAAUUCCUUCAGGUGUUUGUGUCCGAUGAUGGCAAGCGGAUAAUAGGUACUGACCUUCAUGGAUAUAAGAGUUCUCUCGGGGUGAUUGCGAGAAACGGACUACGUCUUCCUCUCCACUAUCCGACAUUUCAACAGAUCCCAGAGACAACCAAAAAGGAGAUAUGGCUGAGGUACAG